ensembl:lncRNA
CUCAAGACUCUCCAGGGCAUUCAUGGCAGGAAAUCAAAGAGAAUCAGCACAUUCAACUCUAGAAAAAUACAGCAGGCUCACCCCAAUAUGGAUAGUUGAAACCAGGACAACUAGAUAUACUUAAGAGAAAAUAGUGCUUUACAAGGUUGAGAAAGGCAGAAAUUUAAAAAAAUAUUGAAUUAUGCGCAGUAUGCACAAUGCACCCUCCUACUCUUAAUACAGGAAGAAAUAGAAUGAAGAUGUGUCCUCAAGGCUAGUGCUUGUGUGCCAAUAUUUAUCAAAAUAAGGUCUUUAACUCCACACGUAGUUCAUUUUAGGCAUUUUCUAUUCUUCUCAAAAUAGUUGGAGAUAGUUAUUCUAAGGAUAUUUCAACUUCUAGAAAUAGAGAUCAUUGAAAAAGUGAAAAGAAAGAUAAAAUAAUUUUUUCCUGUCUUGACAAAUAGUCUCCAAUAUAAGAUAUACCCAUAAAGAUAGGACUGGGAACUUCAAGAUAUGGGUACUCACACGACCAUAAACGGAACAUCUUGUGUUGAAACACAGCACAUUGGAUGAAUAGGAGCACUUUGUUUAGAAUAUAGGUUAUUUGAGCACCUACAAACCCCGUCUGUAGUAGGAAUUUCCUUCGUUGCUUUUGGAUUCAGAAAGCGAAGGUGCUGAUGUACCCUCCGCAGGAGGAGAUAAGUUGCCGGUGCUCUAAAGGAAACACUGUGAAGUUCAGAGACGUGGGCGUGUCGGGGCCUGGAAGGCAAAGGUCUAUCUCUCUAGACACCUGCAGGGGCUUGACUUUCUCAACUUGUGCUUCCUAGCUCAUUCUUUGCUGAUAGCACCUCCCUAAUCUUUGAUUUCUGCUUUUAAGGAUCUUUUAAAGCUGUGUGUCCUUCCUUUUCAGCUUCACAUUUGGCAGCCAUUUUUACCUCCAGCGAGUUUUAAAGAGGAGUCUGGGGCUUAGAGAGUUGAAGCACCGCUUUGCCAAAGUUUCACAUCCGCAAAGGGACAUCCCCAGAGGAUCCCCGAGUGCUCACCUUCAGCACCCUAACUUCUUGGUCCAAAACCUGCUCAUCAUGGAAGCGCUGAUCCUCCACGAACUGGUGUAUGCUCUGCCCAGUGUCCUCACUUCCCCCUUACAGUCCCCCUGGGGCUGAAGGCUCUGCUCCAGGAGGGUGUCCAGCCUCUAUGCAGGGGUCUCAUCCAGGUCCUGGGAAGCUCCAUCUCUGCAGGACCAGGCUGUCCUUGGAAUAAACCUUCUUUUUUUGAAGAGGGCACCUUCUAACCUUUCUCCAGAAAACUAACAGUCUAGAGAGGGGGAAGGAGAGUGGGGAGGGGGAGAGGGAUUUAUCGUCCUCCCCUCGGGGUGAAGGGCUGGGGCGUCUUCCCUGCAGCACGUUGCUCCCUUGCCUGGGCUGCCUGCGCUCAGUAGCCAGCCUCCUUACUGGUCCUCCCUGCUCUCCUGACAUUUGGAGAUUGAAAGUGAAUUUGUAGAGUUGGAAUUUUCUCUUUCUAUUCAAGGCUGCCAAGAAAAAAGCCCAGGAGGUGGAGGCCUCCCGCGGGCUUCCCCACAGGCUCUCAGCCCGGGGAUUUUCAAGUGUCCUGGAGCUGGCCUCUCCCCUCUCCCCAUUUCCUGCUGCGUGAGGAGGAGACCUUGACCCCUAAGGCAGCUCUGGCAGCUGGAGAGCGUCUGCUCCUGGGGUGGGAGCCGCUGGCUGCCUGGAGUGAGGGAUGCAGAGGCUCCGCCUGAGCCUGGGGCCUGGGGCCUGAGACUGAAUGAUUUCUUUAUAUUUGAAAACAAGGCAUCUACAACUAUUAUUGCUUGUUUUGUUCCUUAUUAUAUGAG